rnacentral:rRNA from 1 species
AGAGUUUGAUCCUGGCUCAGGACGAACGCUGGCGGCACGCUUAACACAUGCAAGUCGAACGAGAGAAGAGGAGCUUGCUUUUCUGAUCUAGUGGCGGACGGGUGAGUAACACGUGAGCAAUCUGCCUUUCAGAGGGGGAUACCGAUUGGAAACGAUCGUUAAUACCGCAUAACAUAAUUGAACCGCAUGAUUUGAUUAUCAAAGAUUUAUCGCUGAAAGAUGAGCUCGCGUCUGAUUAGCUAGUUGGUAAGGUAACGGCUUACCAAGGCGACGAUCAGUAGCCGGACUGAGAGGUUGAUCGGCCACAUUGGGACUGAGACACGGCCCAGACUCCUACGGGAGGCAGCAGUGGGGAAUAUGCACAAUGGAGGAAACUCUGAUGCAGCGAUGCCGCGUGAGGGAAGAAGGUUUUAGGAUUGUAAACCUCUGUCUUCAGGGACGAAAAAAGACGGUACCUGAGGAGGAAGCUCCGGCUAACUACGUGCCAGCAGCCGCGGUAAUACGUAGGGAGCGAGCGUUGUCCGGAAUUACUGGGUGUAAAGGGAGCGUAGGCGGGAUCGCAAGUCAGAUGUGAAAACUAUGGGCUUAACCCAUAAACUGCAUUUGAAACUGUGGUUCUUGAGUGAAGUAGAGGUAAGCGGAAUUCCUAGUGUAGCGGUGAAAUGCGUAGAUAUUAGGAGGAACAUCAGUGGCGAAGGCGGCUUACUGGGCUUUAACUGACGCUGAGGCUCGAAAGCGUGGGGAGCAAACAGGAUUAGAUACCCUGGUAGUCCACGCCGUAAACGAUGAUUACUAGGUGUGGGGGGACUGACCCCUUCCGUGCCGCAGCAAACGCAAUAAGUAAUCCACCUGGGGAGUACGACCGCAAGGUCGAAACUCAAAGGAAUUGACGGGGGCCCGCACAAGCAGUGGAGUAUGUGGAUUAAUUCGAAGCAACGCGAAGAACCUUACCAGGUCUUGACAUCGUAUGCAUAGCUCAGAGAUGAGUGAAAUCUCUUCGGAGACAUAUAGACAGGUGGUGCAUGGUUGUCGUCAGCUCGUGUCGUGAGAUGUUGGGUUAAGUCCCGCAACGAACGCAACCCUUACUGUUAGUUGCUACGCAAGAGCACUCUAGCAGGACUGCCGUUGACAAAACGGAGGAAGGUGGGGAUGACGUCAAAUCAUCAUGCCCCUUAUGACCUGGGCCUCACACGUACUACAAUGGCUGUCAACAGAGGGAAGCAAAGCCGCGAGGUGGAGCGAACCCCUAAAAGCAGUCUUAGUUCGGAUUGUAGGCUGCAACCCGCCUACAUGAAGUCGGAAUUGCUAGUAAUCGCAGAUCAGCAUGCUGCGGUGAAUACGUUCCCGGGCCUUGUACACACCGCCCGUCACGCCAUGGGAGUCGGUAACACCCGAAGCCUGUAGUCUAACCGCAAGGAGGACGCAGUCGAAGGUGGGAUUGAUGACUGGGGUGAAGUCGUAACAAGGUA